CUCUCCCACGCACUGCCCCCAUCUUCUCCCGCAACCCCCGCCCCGCGCCCCAACCUGAAUCCAGCCGGCCAGCCACCCCAGCACGCCGGCGGCGCGCCAGACCCCGCAGGCAUCCCGCGUGCCGCCGUCCCCGCCACCCAGUGCGCCUCCUUCACCGCCACCCCCACAUCUUCUUCGCCGCCACCAUCCAACGCACCGACGCCACAACCAGUGCCCCACGAGAGCGCCGACGCGCACAGAUCCGGCGGGAUCCCGACCGGAGUGGGCCGGCGACUUGCCCCUACCUCCCCUCACCUCUCGGCAACGCGCACGCCCCUUCCUCCCGCCGGAGCACCGCCUCCUGCACCUCCCACCGAUGCGCCGCCCACUCCACCUCCCUCCGACGUGCUGCUCCUCCACCUCCAGGUGAUGCACAACCCAACCACCCCCCAGCAACGGCGCCCCUUGAUACCAGGCUCCCUUUAGCUGGCCGCCGGAGCCGCACUCAUCCCGGGCACCUCCCGCCUCACGCGGAGGAGUAGCCGCCCCGUUUCUCUGGCCUCUACCUCUCCCGCUUCACCUUUUCCUGUCGCCCACUAGGUAAACAACAGCCGGAACUAGCUUGCCCCUUCCUCUCUUCUCAGGGGGAUUUCAUCAUAGACCUACACUGUGCCGCUUCUUGGCUCACAUCCAGAAGAGGCUACAGGUUUCGCUUGUGCUGACAUGUCACCUGAUGUUUCUAGAGCCACCAAGUGGCGACCACAGCGAGCGUAGCCAGCAUCGCCAUUGGUGCAAGCUCGUCACAUCGAAAGAAGUUCAUGUGGCUUGUCGGAUGUUGUUAUCGUGGAUGACGAUGGCGAUCUCGUUCUCGGUCGGAGAAUGAAGAGACACAGGAGAAGGGACGAGGAUCAUGUGCUCACCGUGCAGCACGACAUCACCUCUUCGCUCCGGAGGGUCGGGCUUCUUACUGGAGAUCAUUCCGUGUCAGAUUUCCUACUGUGUAUCAUCCUUCUUUCAUUAGUGGUCCAUUGUUUGCUAUUGUUGGUUUACAGGUUUGGAAGGCAGCCAUGCUGCUAACCUGACUUUGUGUUGCACAAGAGCUUCACAUCGUUUGAAUUCGCCAGUGUUACUGGCAUGAAGAUCGGUGUUGGGGCAGGUGAUGGCUUGUUAUGAAAUUUAGUGAAUGAGAAAAUUGCUCUAUUGUUGUGAUUGUACAACUGUGUAGUUUCUGAUAUUUUAUUUGUUUUUGUAAAGGUCAAAGUGUUGUGUCUGAGAAGUUCAAGUAUGUUAGUUUAUACUACA